UACGUAGGGUGCAAGCGUUGUCCGGAAUUAUUGGGCGUAAAGAGCUCGUAGGCGGUUUGUCGCGUCUGCUGUGAAAACCUAAGGCUCAACCUUGGGCUUGCAGUGGGUACGGGCAGACUAGAGUGCGGUAGGGGGUGACUGGAAUUCCUGGUGUAGCGGUGGAAUGCGCAGAUAUCAGGAGGAACACCGAUGCGAAGGCAGGUCACUGGGCCGCAACUGACGCUGAGGAGCGGAAAGCAUGGGGGAGGCGAACAGG
rnacentral:rRNA from 1 species